AAGUCGUAACAAGGUUUCCGUAGGUGAACCCGCGGAAGGAUCAUUAUUAGGUGAGCGCCUUCGGGUGCCAGCUUCAACCCUCGUGUCAAAAUACACCUCGUUGCUUUGGCGGGCCCGCCUCUGGGCCGCCGGGGUCCUUAUGGGCCCUGGCCAGUGCCCGCCGGGAGCCUUCUUUAAUUCUAAUUAACUGUGGAGUCUGAGUACAACGAUAAAUCGUUAAAA
rnacentral:misc_RNA from 1 species